GAUGAACGCUGGCGGCGUGCUUAACACAUGCAAGUCGAACGGAAAGGCCCAAGCUUGCUUGGGUACUCGAGUGGCGAACGGGUGAGUAACACGUGGGUGAUCUGCCCUUCACUUCGGGAUAAGCCUGGGAAACUGGGUCUAAUACUGGAUAGGACCACUUCUUGGAUGUUGUGGUGGAAAGUUUUUUCGGGGUGGGGUGAGCUCGCGGCCUAUCAGCUUGUUGGGGGGGUAAUGGGCUACCCAGGCGUCGGCGGGGAGGCGGGCUGAGAGGGUGUACCGGCAAAUUGGGACUGAGGAAAGGCCCAGGCUCCUAAGGGGGGCAGCAGGGGGGAAUAAUGCACAAUGGGGGGAAGGCUGAUGCAGGGACGGCGGGUGGGGGAUGACGGCCUUCGGGUUGUAAAACCCUUUCGCUAGGGACGAAGCGGUUUGUGACGGUAACUGGUGAAGAAGCACCGGCUAACUACGUG
rnacentral:rRNA from 1 species